AAUUAUUUACUGGCUUUUUUCAGUUUCCUGGAAAACACUAAGGGUGCUCUUACAAUUUGUCUGGCUUGCCUGGUGUUGGCACAACUGGAUAUGGAAAAUCAUGUCGGAAUGUGAAUCCAAAGAAUCAAAAUUUGUGAAAGCAGAGUGUUAUCCUAAAAGUGUCAAGCAGCCAAAUGGUACCAGUUUCAACAAUGGUGCCAGAGUGUUUUUUAGAAAGACAGUUUCUGUUUAAACCCCUGAUUUUUGUCCAGCAUCUAUACUUUGUCUAUUUGUCCCAGAGAAAGACAAAGAGCCAGCAGCACCUGAAGCUUUUAUCUUUUACUUCCUUUGAAGUCACUUGACAUUUCUGUUGCAAUUUCUUUAUUUUAUUGUAUUAUUUCUUUAUUUUGUUAAAUCAUUUAUUGAUCAGACAGUUGGGGGAAGAUUCAUAGUUUGUAAAAUAUUUCAUAUGUUUUAGACAAAUAAUAUAGUACCUUUUAUAUUUAUUAUUAUAAACACAAGUCUAGAAGAUCAAAGACAAGUUUUGGUUGAAUAUUAUGUAUCAUUCAUUCAUAUAUAUAUUUAUUAAAUACAUACAAGGCAGUUGCUAGGUUUUAUGAAGGAGUAUAAAAACGAAUCAGACACAAAUAUAAUCUCAUUUCCCUCUAUUAAAAUUAUUCAAAAAUAUAAUAUUACAUAAUAGAUGAAUGAGAGAAGAAGGAAGGGAGAAUGUGUGAAAGAGAGAGAGAAAACGGUAAUAAAAACAAAUGUGGCAAAAUGUUAACAAUUGGUGAAUUUUAGAUGAUGACUAUGAAGUAGUUCUUUGUACUAUUCUUGUAACUUUUCUGUAUGUUAGAUGUUAUUUUAAAAUAAAAAGUUACUGAGUGUAUGCUCUGAAAAAAAAAAAAGCAGCUGAACUAUCUAAGAGACUGAGGGUUUGCGAUUUCUGGAGUCCUUCUCAGUUACGGGAAUCGCAUCUCAAGUCUCUUUUACUUCCCUAUUGUUUCUGGAAUCAUUCUUUAAACUUGGGAGGCGCUCAAUAAAUGUAUAACCUUUGAGUGCUUAGUUUUUCCUUUGGAAUCCCAAUUUUCAGCCAGCAUCUCUUUAGAUCAGACCAUGAAGCUAUUGUAAACUGCAUACAGAAUACACAAGAGAGAACUUGCGAGAGACAGCUUUGUCAACGAUCGUGUGCAAGCCUCACCAACUAGAAAGCAAUGGAUUUGGACUGAUCUCUUGAUCUCUUUUGCCAUCUACUAUUAAUUUAAAACUGUAUCCUCACUCUCAAAUUGUAAGAAAGUUGUAAGCUGGAGUUUUAUCUUUCUCAUCUUUAUGUAUCCAGCAGAGACCUUCGUGUGUAUUAAGUGCUCAAUUCAUGUUUGUUGGCUGUAUAAGUGAAUACGGAUUCAAACAUGUUUGUGCCAAAGAUCUUCAAACCGAUUUCUCUUAUUUUGUUUCUCACACCAAAGCUAUACUGGUCUUCACGAGGCCGAGUUAGCCCGAGAGUAAAAUCGUAUCCAUAUGAACUGUAAUGUACAAACUAUAUUUAGGAAAAGGUGUACAAGGAGAGCAGAUUUCAAAGCUGGAGAAUAUUAAUGGUCAGUUAAUAUAUUUAGCAUGUGGUUAAAUACUUAAUACAUUUUAUUGUCUCUUUAAAAUCAAAGGUCCUAUAUCAUGUAUAUGUUUUGCAAAUGACAUUUGAAUAAAAAUGUAAAAGGCAUCUAAAGGGAUGAAGGGCACUUCUGGACUUGAAGAAACCUCUCAGGUUUGAUAAUCACAUUUUGAGUCAUCUAAAUUCAUACCUAUUAUCACUUAAGUGAACACUGAUGCUGCCACUGGAUUUUAUACAAAUAUUCAGAUUUUUGUUUUCCUCAUCAUUCUGAAGGUUAUCUCCCUGGUCGCUCUGAAAAUCAGGUGACAACCAUUUCCCAUGAUGCUUUAAGGGCUGUCAAACUGUCCAUCAAACUGUCACCUGACCAAUCGUUCCCAUGGUUCUUUUAGACUUCCAGUAUGAUAAAUUGAAAGGCGCUAUUAUCUGUCUGUUGUGAAGAGGAACUGUUUGGGCUUUGAUAAGAUAUCACUACUCCCAGAGUUGGAUGUUUUCCCUGAAAACAUUGGCAGUGUGGCUCCUCCUAAGCCUGUGUCUCAAUCCCGAACUGAAGGGACCAUCUUCCUGAGGCAGCUAUUCAAAACUGCUGCCAGCUCGCUUGCUUCUACUGAAUUGGCCAGUUACAGACAGACUGGUCAGGAGGUGAUGAACCUGUUUGAGCUGACUGAUUAUUAACCAGGAAUCAAGUUUCAUGCAUAGGCGAGCACAGUGGAAUGACGGAAGGAACCAAGUCUGUCUCUUUUUUUUAGGUCACAGUAAAGGAAGCCAUUUGACUUCACUGUGGUAGUUUUGGAUUGUGUAGAGAAUGGUUAGGACUGUGGGUUUGCGAAUCCUAAAGACCUGCUUUCAAGCUUUGGUCCUGCUAACUAGCUGUUUGAGUUCAGCUGCCAAAGGUCAUCUGACAUAAUAGCUGAUGAAUUCAAGCCCAGUGGAUUUCAUUUGCAAUUUUCAAUUUACUGAGGCCUCCAAACCCCACGGUGAUAAAAGCUUCCCCUAUCGUGGCCUGUCACAAACAUCAAGAAACUGCACAAACCCACAAGAAAGAAAAAAGAGAAAGCUGUGCAUCCUCGCAGGUACAGAUAAGGAGAACAGGAAGAAAUGGUAUCACGCAGGAAGGUAUGGAGCAGCUUGUGUGGCUAGUUCUCCAAAUGCCAGUUGAAAGGAAAAGACUAUGAAGAACAAUCAAAUAACUUCCACAGAAUAACGUCAUGUUUCUUUGGGGCUUUUGUGUGAAAAUUGCGUUCUAAUCUCUUAUUUGACAUGCCCCUAAACAAAAAUAUGAGUGUAAAUAUGCAAAUAAACAAAUGAAUAAAUAAUCUUUGCUUAUUUGAUCAUUGGAAAGAAAGCACACUCUGUGUGUUGUAUUUAGCAUAGUUUUGAUUUACAAAAUGCGUGCUCCUAAAGGAUCUUUUAUCAUGGAAGUGUCAGUCAGCACUAAGAAAUCAUUUGUUUUCUCGUAGAGAAAUGGUAGAUCCUUUGAUUGAUUUGCAAGGGCAGUCAAAGGACUGACAUAGCAACUACUUGUAAGUGGAUCUAGACACAGUGUAUAUUGAAGAUGUAUUAGCAAGGGAAGAAAGCCAUUUUCCCCUCCUGUCAAGCUAUUUACAGUGAACUUUGGCAGGAUCUGGGACUGAAUCUUGCUCCCAGCAAUUGUUCAAAUUGAGGAGACUAUAUGCGUGUUCCUUGCAGAAUGGUAAGUUUAAAAGUUGAGCAGCUCAUCUUCAUCCUAUCCUACACAACUCAUACGAUAGCUUACAAAGAGAAAGCAAAGAGAUGACCACUGUUUGAGGUACAACUGCUUGGAGAAUUCCAUUUCAGACAUGGAUGUCUGGAUCCCAUUUCUACCAAAUAGAUUCAGAAAGGCUUAUGAAAUUGGUCUAAUGAGGCAAGAGAACUUGGCAGAGGGCAUCUAACAACAUGCCUCAUGACGAAAUUUCUCAUGCCAGUUGACAAGAAAACCCAAGAAUGACAUCAACAAGACCAGGAUAUUAACUCCAUUUGUGUAUUGGUAACUGUGAGACACGCACAGGUUGGAAAGGAAAAGAGACUAAUUCCUGGUUGAACUGAUGUGAUUGUGAGAGGCUGCCUACUGUAGAAUGAUAACUUAAACUGUCACAGCAAAAAGCAAAAAUGUGGGCUAUUCAUCAUAAUUGAAUCCUUGGUUCUUUGAAAUUAAACUAUUUCUUAAGAUUUUCUAUUAGCAAAAAAUUUAAUGAUCUUUCAAUUCUUCAAAGUUUUAAAAUAGAAACUGUUUCCUCAAGUAGCUAAAAUGGCAGGAAUUAACAUUUUGAAAUAAGGCAUAAAAAAGUUUAUUCUAAGAUGCAGAAAAUACAGAAGGUAGCCAUAUUUUAGCAUUUUAUUGUUUUUUCUCCUACACAAAAUUGUCAGGAUGUCACUUUUCAAAAGUUGCUUCCUCUUUUCCCCCUUUUGUAGUUUCUAUAGGUUCAAAGAGAACUCUCUCCAUAAUUUGCAGUUUCUAUGGGUUCUCUUUGGAUUGUUAGCAUAAUACAGAGACCCUGGUGAUGGUAAAAGAUUGCUUAAUGGAGUCUUAAUUUAAUCAGUCCUCUAAAAAAAUACGUAUAACUUGGUGAGGGUUUUUCAUUAUCUCUGUUCUUCAAUGGCAGUGAUACAAGGCAAGCUGUACCAAUGGGUCUGUAGUUACAUAGCAGAAAGGUUAAUCUCUUUUAUGUUCCUUCUAUUAGAAAGGCAGUUCUCGAAUCUUCAGGGCAGAGUCCUAAAUUGGUCUUGUAGACUGGUUCACAGAGACUGUUCCCUCUUAUGCCCUACGGCUAAUUACAAUCAGUCAGGCCAGAGCAUUCACUGUCGUUUGAAUGAUGCGAUAGACUAUUUCCCGUUUCAUUAAUUAAUUUUUUUCAUCCCUUCACUUAGUAUUUAUUUAGUAUCUACUAAAUGCAGGACAACUAUGAAUGAGACUUUCCUUACUUUCAAGCAGUUUACAGAAGAGUGAAAUACAGAAUGUUUUACAUCUGCUCUCCCCACCUCCCAGAAUUGUUUUUCAUAUAGCCAUAAAAAGUUUAAAAUAAUGAAAAGUGUAUCUUGAGAAUUUGAGCAAUGGAGUGACACCAUUGACAUCUGGAUAUCUUAUUUCGGGUGAAAGCUGUGUUUCCCAUUUUUUUUGGUAAUACGUGCAUCAUCAUAAUAUUUUUGCCAAGUCUACGUACAAUCUGUACUUAUUUACUCAAUACUUUCCUUUGACAAUUCAGCUUUUUAAAAUUAACUAAGGUCAAUUAGAAAGAGAUAAUUAUCUAUAAUACCACAAAUGGAAAGCCUGUAUCAUGAGCUGUGAAUAAAUAAUCAUAAAUAUAAAUGCAUAACGAUUAUUGUAUUAGUCUGUGCACCAUCUACAUAAUUUCAUAUUUCACUACUGGUACGUGUUUGGAAAAUACUGGUUUGGCGUAUGGUGCUGAUAAAGACCAGUGUUGCAGGCUUGACCUCCGUAAGAACAGAUGUCCCAUGAGAACAGAUACUUUGAUUUGUUUCUUGCUGUACCUCCAGCUCCUAGAACAAUGCCUAGCACGAAUCAGGUACUAAAAAAUAUUAAAUAAAUAAGCAAAUAAAUAAGGGCCAGUUAGCUUCUCAAAGAUCAACCUGUAUUUCCGUUAUAGUCACACUAAUCAUACUUAAUUGUAGUUACUUGUCUAAGUCUCUCAAUCACUAGAUUGGUCAAAGACUUGGGCUUUCUUGUUCACUUCUGUUAUAAUCAGUGCCUAGACAAUGUCUGGCACACAGUAGGUGCUUAAUAAAUACUCACUGAAUGAAGGGAGAACACCAUUCCAAGGUCAUACAACUUUUUUGUCUAUAAUCUCACUGGUCAUUUUUAUAGAGGAGUUGAAUUGGCCAACAGUGGCUUAAAACUAUUCAGUACCCGGCACAUUAAAAAAAAAAAAA